AUGGAGGAGACGCAGCAGAUGAUACAGGGCUGUCCGAACCUUGUAGAAGGAAACAGGCAGCUCAUCACCACUGAAAACUGUGCCCUGUAUACGAGCCCAGAGGAGCAGGCCCCAGACAGCGUCCGGAGCUUCGAGCACGUGGCAGAUAUGGGCCUGUUCCUGUUCAGCGACGCUCUGGUUCUGACCCGCCGCCGCCUCCGUCAGGUCCCCUUCAGCGUGGCCCAGAGGAGCGCCCACACCUUCGUGGCCUCCGUGGCUCUGCGCAGGCUGACCGUGAGAGAGAUCGCUCACUCGCGCUGUACGCAGAUAAGUCGAUAUUGUCAUGUGUUCCCGGGCUCUCGGUACGUGCGGCUUUAA
rnacentral:lncRNA from 1 species